GAGGGUAUAGCUCAGUGGUAGAGCUCAUGCUUAGCAUGCACGAGGUUCUGCGUUCAAUCCCCAGUACCUCCU
rfam:Camelus ferus unplaced genomic scaffold scaffold138, whole genome shotgun sequence.